UUAGACAUAAAAAAAGGUCAUACGUCUGCUAGCAAUUUAGGUUCCAAAUAUGAGCUUUAAUAGCUGCAAAAGCAAUUCAAAAACAGAAUGAAAACAAUCAAGAAAGAGAAAUUAAUAGCUGAUUCUAACCUCUUUGGAGUCUUGCAUCAUUUCUGGGUUCAAAAAGCUUGGUUUGAUUUGAAAGAAAUUGUUGGUUUUACUGUUGCUAUCACUCUGUUGUUUAGCUGAGAUUUGGAUUGUCCUCCUGAUUUCUGCUGCUGAUCUGUUUUGAGCUCACUCAUUAGCUGUUUUCCUUGGCCUUUAUUUGGCAAAAGUUCAGCUUCAUUUACAAGUUUAGGUACAUACCUCUCACUCGUAUUUUGUUCUGAUUUGUAUUAAAGUAUGGGCUGUUUUUCUUUGAAGUUAUUUGCUGCAGUGUUUAAACUUAUUGUUUGUUUGGUCUUAAACAUAAAUUGAAUGUUUAGAUUUAAUAUAGUAACUACAUGAACAUUGUUAUCGUUUUGCAUAUUAAAGACAAAUUGUUUUAGCAGUGAUUUGUGACUAAGAAUAUAUUGAAUCUCACAUGUUUUAGCUAAAAUUCAACUGGUGUAUCACAUCAGUAAUUAUAUGCUGCUUAAAUUCGAAAUUGAAUUGCUGAAAUAUGGGUUUUCCCUUUAUGUUCUAAUAAACAAUGCAGACUGAUUUGAGGUAUAAGAAUUAAACGAGUUUCUAUUUUGGAAAAAUGGCUUUCGUGGAAUUUUGAAGAUAUGUUUAAAAGACUGUUGUUUCUAAUUUAAAACGUGAAUGUUGUUAUAAUUAAUUAUAGAGACCAUUGAUGUACUCUACAAUUCUCAUGUGGAUGUAUUUGAACCCAAGGAGGAUUGUAUAUAUUAAGAGGCCUUUUGCAUAAUAUGAGGUUAUUGUGUUAGUUUUGUCAUUUAAGUUGUAUCCAAUUAUGAUUCCGAUAUAAUAUAGGAAAUUUUACCUCAUAUAGCAAAGAUUUACACCCUAUUUAUUAUAAAUAAAAACUCUUUCAAAAUAUUAUUUUCUAUAGAUACCUUUUAGUUUUUAUAGCAAAAUAUGUAUUUAUGGUCACUUCCUAAUGUUAAGCCAUUAAAUACACUGUCUAAUAUUUUUCUCUCUCAUUCUUUCAGUUUAUUCUCUCCCAAAAUCACACAUAGUAUCUUAUUUGUCUCUCCACGAUCUCUCUCUCAAUGAUAUCUCUCUCAUUCUUUCCUAUAUGAAACAGAAAACUGGUUUCCUCUGAUAGACGAUGAGUUUUUCCAUAAUUUUCAUGGUUAUCACUACUCUUCAGACAUAAAAACAGUGAGCAUUUCCAUGAUUUCCUGCAAGUUUUCUUAACAUUCUUUUCAAAAUUGUUAUUUCCCAAUUCUACAGGACGUGGAGGCGUGACACCAAAUUUUUUCCCUUCUGAUUCAUGAUUUCUUGCUUUUGUAAAGAACUAUGAAAUUGUGCAAGUCAUAAAUCAUCAAUACAGAUUUUUACCACUCACCACUAAAGUUUUUGGGUUUUUGGCCUGUUAAAGCUUUUUCUUUUUCUCUUCAACAGUUUUUUUAAAAAUAUUCACCAUUGUUAGGUUUUCUGCAGAAUACCCACUAAAGCACUCAAUUUCGAAGGUCCAUCUUUAGAUUUGCAAAUCACUCAAGAGGAACCUGUAUUUGCAGGUUCAUCAACAACCAUUGAAGCCGAAAGGAAAACAAAAAUACGCAAUGACCCUAAUUGUAGAUGUAUUUAUAUGUAUUCGAGUCCGCAGGAUUUUUAGUUUCUACAGUGGUUUUCUCUUCUUGUAUUUAGAUGUAUUUAUAUGUAUUCGAUAAGGCAUAUACUGAUUUUUAUUUUUUACAGUGAUUUUUGACUGUUGUAUUUAGAUGUAUUUAUAUGUAUUUG
rnacentral:lncRNA from 1 species